UCAUUCAGUGACCCUAGGGCAGAACUGGAGCUAGAACUGAGUCCUUCACCAGGACUCCCCAGGCUCAGCUCUCCGCCCAGCCCACUCCUCCCCUCCACCUCUCAAUCUGUUCAGCUCCCUUUUCAGGCUUCAUGUGACCCCUGGGGGCCUACUUGAAGCACUGGUGGGACGGGGUGGGGUGAUGGUAAAUGACAGAAUGGCUUUCCCAUGGCGUGUGACUUGUCCACCAAUUUGAAGAGCAUUUUCUUGGCCAGCGUUCUAAUCCCAGUGCUUGAGUAAUGCCCUGAGACCACAUCGAUCGGGAUCCGGGAAAUUCCAACCCGACCGCAACACACUGUAAUGGCCUCUACCCGGGUGACCUUCUCUCUGUCAGAAAAUACAUCUUUUCUGCAAGUCCCCAGCCUGCAAACAUCACCCACAGCCAGCUUAGCCCAGACAAAGGGCUUUGAAAUGGUCCAGAUAAUGCAUCGAGGGGAAAACUGUUUUCCAAGUGUGUAAUUCGUCCACUAUUAACCUGCAGCUGCAGGGAUGGCCUGCUUUGCUUCCCUUCUCCAGCCAGGGCCACUCCUGUCAUGUACUGUGAUGCAUGGUGCAUGGCAGUGGACAGGGAGCUGAGGCUUGUCAUAUUUCCUGAAUGCUAAUGACCCCCUGGUUGGCUGGCUGACAUUCUGUCGGCCGCCUGGCUGCACUGCAGGCCUGACCCACCAUGGAAAUUGUGUGCAGCUUGGUUCUACCACAACACAUGUCUUGGUAUUCAGCUGAGUGGCGUGGAAAGGGAGCUGGCAUCCCCAGCCAUCUGGAGGUACGUGUUCAGGAAGGGGCCGGACACAGAUACUAGGGCUUCUCGUGUUUGCUUUGGGUUUGUUUCCUGAUGAUGGCUCUGUGGAUCGGGGUGUUUUGGGGAGAAGUACGUAUCCUUUGGGAGCUCUGCUCUUAUUGUCUACAAAAUAGCUGGACACAGUAAUGGACUUAUACUCCCUGAACUGUAUUUUUUUUAAGGAAAUUCUCUCUUUUGUGCUAAGUGAUCAUUAGCAUUGAAAAUGUAUGUAUGGGGGGAGGACAAUAUUUUUUUGCCUAUCCUCAUCUCUAUUUCUUUCUUUUCCUUUCAUAUUUAUCAUCACAGUAUUUUGGCCUCCCCUGUUGCCAAGCUAAGCUGGGCCCAGCAGUUCGCGGAGUCAGGGCUGAGUAGAGACGGGUUACUCCUGGAAUAUCCUCACCACGCAGCCGUGGCCGAAGAGGGAUGAAAAAGAGAGGCAAAUGGAUGUGGGGCAGAUGCCAGGGCUGGGGCCAAGCUCGGGCACCAUGGGGGUAGACAAGGGAGACAAGAGGAAAAUGCCAAAGGAAUGGUUUAUGAGAUUUUCCAAAGCAAUGGGAGGCACUGGAGGAGGACUUUUAGAAGGUGUUUUACAGGGAAUCAUGGGACAGGGCAGGAGCUGAGAUGAAUACCCAGCCAAGUCAAUAAAUUUAAACAAGUAAUUUUCAACCACUGGCAAAUGUGUGACAUUUGCCAGCUGAUGUCUAGUCGGAGAAUGUUUUUAAUAUGGUAAUCCAAGAAAUCCUAAAUCAUGGGAGUAAAUCCUCUUUAUUAAUUUCCCAAGCCCCAAAUAAAAAAUAAAAACCAGAAAAGCCAAAUUAUUCUUUCGCCCUCAAGGAAUGUGUCUCUUGGCUCUGGGUUUCAGUUGGCAAUCGGAUGGUUCACCUGCAGAGCUUCCAAAAGGAAUGGUGUUUGAACUUAAUGAAUCUGAACUUAAUGAAUCAGCACGAGGCCUUGCAGACAAAAUUUCCUUCUCCUGGAAACUGAACAGGAGCCUGGGUUGACAUGACACUCCAAUGUAACAAGACAACAUAAUUUACAGGAGCCCUGUGGCUUUUACAUUUGAGGCCCACUGUUUCCCAGUAUUUGAACCAGAGCUCGGAGAACAGCUGGGAGAUUAGGUACUAACGAAAAGGAAGUGAUUUGAAAUAUCCACGCUCUGCUCCCUGCAAAUCAGAGCGCUGUGGCUUGGCAAGCUUCAUCUUCCCUCCCCACCCGUGCCACCCCACUGAAAUGUGUCUCCGUAUGGGGCUGUCUGCAGAGCUCUCGGAGAUGUUUACAGCUCCCUUCCUCUAUGCUUGUGUGAUAAAGGUUUGGCUUUGUUGUAUCAACUGAAAUCACAGAGCUGAAUGUUUCCCUUGUCUGUCUAAGAAAUACUGCGAAUAUUAUA